CAGAUGUACAGAAACAAAAACUGACAGAGAUGUACAGAUACACACACUGUAUCUGUACAUCUCUGUCAGUUUUUGUUUCUGUACAUCUGUAUCU
rnacentral:miRNA from 1 species